GAUGAACGCUAGCUACAGGCUUAACACAUGCAAGUCGAGGGCAGCAUGAACUUAGCUUGCUAAGUUUGAUGGCGACCGGCGCACGGGUGAGUAACACGUAUCCAACCUUCCCGUUUACUCAGGGAUAGCCUUUCGAAAGAAAGAUUAAUACCUGAUAGUAUGGUGAGAUUGCAUGAUAGCACCAUUAAAGAUUUAUGGUAAACGAUGGGGAUGCGUUCCAUUUAGGUAGUAGGCGGGGUAACGGCCCACCUAGCCGACGAUGGAUAGGGGUUCUGAGAGGAAGGUCCCCCACAUUGGAACUGAGACACGGUCCAAACUCCUACGGGAGGCAGCAGUGAGGAAUAUUGGUCAAUGGACGAGAGUCUGAACCAGCCAAGUAGCGUGCAGGAUGACGGCCCUAUCGGGUUGUAAACUGCUUUAUAAGGGAAUAAAGUGAGUCUCGUGAGACUUUUUGCAUGUACCUUAUGAAUAAGACCGGCUAAUUCCGUGCCAGCAGCCG
rnacentral:rRNA from 1 species